GAUGAACGCUAGCGGCAGGCCUAACACAUGCAAGUCGAGGGGUAGAGAAAGCUUGCUUUCUUGAGACCGGCGCACGGGUGCGUAACGCGUAUACAAUCUGCCUCUUACUGCGGGAUAGCCCAGAGAAAUUUGGAUUAACACCGCAUGGCAUGUUUGAGUGGCAUCAUUUAAACAUUAAAGGUUACGGUAAGAGAUGAGUAUGCGUCCUAUUAGCUAGUUGGUAAGGUAACGGCUUACCAAGGCAACGAUAGGUAGGGGCCCUGAGAGGGGGAUCCCCCACACUGGUACUGAGACACGGACCAGACUCCUACGGGAGGCUG
rnacentral:rRNA from 1 species